rnacentral:rRNA from 1 species
AUUGAACGCUGGCGGCAUGCUUUACACAUGCCAGUCGAACGGUAACAGGCCGCAAGGUGCUGACGAGUGGCGGACGGGUGAGUAAUGCAUCGGAACGUGCCCAGUCGUGGGGGAUAACUACUCGAAAGAGUAGCUAAUACCGCAUACGAGCUAUGGAUGAAAGCGGGGGACCGUAAGGCCUCGCGCGAUUGGAGCGGCCGAUGUCAGAUUAGGUAGUUGGUGGGGUAAAGGCUCACCAAGCCAACGAUCUGUAACUGGUCUGAGAGGACGACCAGCCACACUGGAACUGAGACACGGCCCAGACUCCUACGGGAGGCAGCAGUGGGGAAUUUUGGACAAUGGGCGCAAGCCUGAUCCAGCAAUGCCGCGUGCGGGAAGAAGGCCUUCGGGUUGUAAACUGCUUUUGUACGGAACGAAACGGCUCUGGUUAAUACCCGGGGCUAAUGACGGUACCGUAAGAAUAAGCACCGGCUAACUACGUG